rnacentral:ncRNA from 2 species
AAGUAUCUAAAAGCGCCUGAACUAACCAGUGUGGGUUAGUUGACGAGGAGGAGGGUUAUCGAAUGUUCGGCGGAUACCUCCCGGUUGAACGCACAACCGUAAGUUUCUUCUUUAAAACAUUGAGGCAACUCACUGCACAAAGAGAGGAAAAUGCGCAUAC